GGCGGCAUGCCUAACACAUGCAAGUCGAACGCUCGGGGUUUCGGCCCCGGGAGUGGCGCACGGGUGAGUAACGCGUGGGAACCUGCCCUGGAGUGGGGGAUAACCGAGGGAAACCUCGGCUAAUACCGCAUACGUCCUGAGGGAGAAAGAUUUAUCGCUCUAGGAGGGGCCCGCGUCGGAUUAGCUAGUUGGUGGGGUAACGGCCCACCAAGGCGAUGAUCCGUAGCUGGUCUGAGAGGAUGAUCAGCCACACUGGGACUGAGACACGGCCCAGACUCCUACGGGAGGCAGCAGUGGGGAAUAUUGGACAAUGGGCGCAAGCCUGAUCCAGCAAUGCCGCGUGAGUGAUGAAGGCCUUAGGGUUGUAAAGCUCUUUCGCACGCGACGAUGAUGACGGUAGCGUGAGAAGAAGCCCCGGCUAACUUCGUGCCAGCAGCCGCGGUAAUACGAAGGGGGCGAGCGUUGUUCGGAAUUACUGGGCGUAAAGGGCGCGCAGGCGGCGCGACAAGUCAGGCGUGAAAGCCCCGGGCUCAACCUGGGAAUUGCGCUUGAUACUGUC
rnacentral:rRNA from 1 species